CAUUGUCGCUUAUGAGGACAGGCGAUUUUUUACGCAUUUUGGUGUUGACCUAGUUGGGAUCGCUAGAGCUACGGUGUCGUUUUCGGCUCUUGGCGGUGGGAGUACCAUUACCCAGCAGGUGUUAUCCGUAUUUUCCAGUAAGAGAGACGUGGCAUGAUUAGAAAAGAAGAUUUGUCAACCUCCCGGACUAGCAGAGUUAACUACCAAAUUUCCUCGCAGAGGUAUCUUGGUAAUCUCGGAGGAGAUUUAUGGAUAUUCGAUGGGGAGAGCCAUCCCCAACUCAAGCAGCAUCUCUGGGACGCAGAAGAACCAUAUUCGUCCCUAGCUCCAAGAAGUCUUGGAACACAACUUAAGUAAGUGACUUCUAGGUGAAGACUUCUACAGAUUGGUUGCGGACCGUAAUCGUUAUCUCAAGGUGAAUGGCCACGUUAGCUCCAUAUGGAAAUCAACCUACAUACGGUUACAUUUUUUUUGACACAAGAUCAGAUCUUGUCUCCCAUGCCAGAUCAUAGUAGUGUGCGUACGCACCUCUAGACAUGCCUUUUGCCCAACGACUUGUCUAAAGGAUAUUCCGGAAAGAAGAAACCUUUGAGCAACACGUGACUUUUAUCCAAAUGGUAUUAGCCACUACCUCUGUGCACCGCACGAUCAAGAAGAUUCUUCAAUGUCGGACAACCAGAUUUCCAGUUGUAUUAUUUUACCCUUGCAACAGGCAGUAGUACAAAACCCUAGGUGGGUAAAGGGGAUGCCCUUACCCACAUGUAAGCUUAUAAAUACUCUCAUUUUCUAUGUAAAAGAGGUGAACAAUUUCAUACUUACCGAACCUCUGCUAAAAUUCAUACUAGGUUUCUUCUUCUUCAAGAAAAAUAGCAGGAAUACAGAGCUAGAGUUUAUAUUGUAAACACUUGUAAUAUUCAAACACUUGCCUGUAAGGCUAAUACAAUGGACUCGUGGACUAGGGAUUAUUAACGUCCGAACCAAGUAAAAAUUACCUGUCUAUUAUUUACUAUUUUAUAUCUUUCUUAAGCUCUGUUAUAUUGGUUUCUAAAAAUCUGGGUAAACAUUUUAGUGCUUUCAUUGAGAGUAGAGAAAAGUUUGCUAGUUGCUGCACCACCUCAAUUAUGGUGAACACUCGAAAGAACGUAAGCAAGAAAACUCCUCUAGAUACUGUUAUGGAGGAGGCAGACUCCCUCGCCUCCGGUCUCCAGCCAAGUGGUGUAAGAAAAGAAGGUACAACCAGCGCUAAGAGCCGAAGAGAGGAUGUUGAGAACGUGUUCGAUGGCAUCGAUGAUGACCAAAACCCUGAAGACAGGGAAGAGGAGGACGACGACAAUGGUUACGUGAAGGAUGGGUAUUAUAAAGAUGGUUACUUCUAUGACCAUGACCCGAACUUGUUGCGAGCGACCAAAGAACUAGAGGCUACUCAGACAGAGUUAAUAGAACAAAAGAAGAUCACUGAGAAAAUAAAGAGAAUGAUGGAACGCCUCCAAAACAAGUUCGAGGACUUGGUGGAGUUUGACGAUGACCCUUUGGUGUGAGUAAUUGCCGAAGAGCGUGCUCACAAGGAAACCGAGAUUAAAACCUCGAAUCCUCGCAAGGAUAAGGUUAAAGGAAAGGUAGAUGAGCCCCACAAAAGUCUGCUCCAAAACCUCCUUGAAAAGACACAAAUCUGGUCAGCCAACCCUCGAGGACGCAGAAGGCCACCGGUGCUUUCGAGCCUGGACGCCCUUUUGAUCUAUUGUGGACAUUGUCCCACAUUGAAUAAAUGGUAAAGUAUUGAGCCAUAUAUAAGAACAUGGGCUACUCCACUCAUCACUACUUGAUUUUGAGAUGGAACCCCAUGAUUCUCAACAUGGUAUCAGAGCUAUAUCCCUUGCAGGCAAGUGAUCCUAUUUGAUCCGCACCUAUACAAAUAAUGACCAUGUCCACUCUGAUACGGUUCAAGAUUAGUGAGAAAAAAAACAGCCACCAUCUUGAGGGGGAAUAUUGUGGACAUUGUCCCACAUUGAAUAAAUGGUAAAGUAUUGAGCCAUAUAUAAGAAUAUGGGCUACUUCACUCAUGAACAAUUGGUUUUGAGAUGGAACCCCAUUCACCUUAUCACAAAUUCUAACAUGGUAUGAGAGCAAAAAAAAAUCUCUAGCAACUAUCCGACUCAAAAAAAAUCGAUCGAAGUAGAGCUAAAAAUAAAAGCCACCAAAAAUCCAAAAAAAAAAAAAUUAAUCCAAGAGCCAAAAAGUCAAAAAAUGCCACUUGUGAUUCGGGGAUAGUGAGCCAAAAAGAGCCGCUUAUGAUCGAGUUGUCCAAGAUGGUGAGCAUAUAAAAUAGCCUCCAUCUUGAGGGGGAUGUUUGAGAGUCCCACAUUGUUAAUGUGUGGAAAGAUAAUAGUAUAUAUAAGAGAAAUGGGUUACUCCUCCCAUUACUAAUUGAUUUUGAGAUGGAACCUCAUGAUUCUCAACAUGAUCCUAGAGGCGAAACCGUGUCAAAAUGUCAAGUACCAGGCCCGGUGAUGAGGGCUGACGAAUCCCUUCAGCGAUCUCCUCCUAUCUUCACGGAGGAUAGCCUACUAGCUCUUCUAUGAAGGAUUACUUGUUCCUUUUCAUGACAUAUCUUUAGGUUGGCAGCAAACUCGCACGUCUUAGUAAGAAAAUUGUGGCUAAGGACGGCUGACCUCAUGGGGAAGGAAAAGCCCAAUGGUGGAAUUUUGCCCAAGGUUGUGCCUGGUCUAGGAGAUGGGUUAGCGGAUGUGGGCCUAAGAGGUUGCUGCCCUGCUAGAUUCAGAUGGAGUAACUGUUGUGCUUGAAGUGGAGUAAGCUGGGAUGGAACUAUUUGCAGUUGCUGGGGUGGUGGAAUUUGUUGUUGUUGUUGUGGUGGUGGUGGUGGAAUUUGUUGAUGUUGUUGCUGUUGUAGUUGUGGUGGAAUUUGUUGUUGUUGAUGUUGUUGUUGUUGUAGUUGUUGCUGUUGUUGCAAUGGUGACGGUGUUGUAGAUGGUGGAUUGGAUAAGGUUGGGUUUAGAGUUGAAGUUGAUGAUUUUUACUUUUUGGCACCUUGGCUCGGGGAAGCGGUGGACCCUUUGUGCUUAAGCAUGCGGAGGCAUCCUUCCUUGGAAAGGUAAGCUAGUAUAGAUUGUCAUCUGAACCGCCCGUAUUCUCUGGGAUACUCAAAGUCGCUCCCUUCACCGGAGGAUUCCCCCACAAGGUUUGCUCCCCCAGAGCAACUGGUACCUCGGUCGCCUUCCUGGAAGUGGUGAGAGUUUUCUCCACCUCGACGGGAGCUGAAGAGCCCGGAGCUACAGAGCUCACCUUAGUGGGAGGAGUGAUGUCCCGAACAUCUAACAAUGACGAGGUUGAGGGAAGACGUGACUUUCGGGUCCUGGAGGCCCGAGUUUUGGUCUUACUCUUCCCAUUUUCUUGGGUGUCUACAGCUUUGGCUAAGGUGGCAACAAUUUUAUUACUCAACGACUUCAACAUCCUAGACUCUAGAGUAUUUACACACAUAACUACAAUAUAAGCAAUUAGAAGCUACAAGCCAAACCAAAGCAAAUAAAAGGACAAUCGUAAAGCAACAAGAUCCACUAAGAAGACUUGUGCGUGAGUGCAACCAUUCAGUGAGCUGCUAUAAGGUUCUCCACGAGCAAAAUAAAUUAUGUCUCCUUGAUCAAGGAAGUUGCCAUAUUCCCUAAAGUUAGGCAAUGACAUGAUCAUUAAAGGAUCCACCCUAACAGUGUCUGAGGAUGCCUCCGGAUUACUAGGGCUCCUAACAAUUUGGUCUACUCUGUCUAUAUAAUCUUUCAUGGAAUAAUCUAUGACGGUCUAAGCUCAAAAAGUAUUUAUCAAAUCCCCCCUUGAUCCUCCCAAGACAUGCAGUAAAGGCUAGGGAUACGGAAGAUGAAGAAGGGUCUAUUACCUCUUCCUGUAGUAUUGGCACUUGGAGUCCCUAUGUCCGGCUACGCUACAACAAAUCUCUCAAUAAUUUCCUCCUCCUCGGAUAAAGAAUUUGAAUGGUGAAUUAGCCAAUCAUGCUCCAGGAGUUUGUCUUCUUUGGUCGCCUCAGUUAUAACAACAGUUAGGUUAGUUGCAAUGGCUUCCUUGACCUCUUCGGGAGCCUGACGUUGUCCCCGGAGGUUAACAGGGUCAAUAUUUUGAAACUUCACGAUUAAGCCAGACCUACGAAGUAGUUCAGUCCUAACCAAAUCCUCGACUUUUAACUGCUCCUCAGAAAAAGCUCUUCGGAAAAAGCUCUGUAUUGAGCCUCCUUCUGGGCUAUUUCGGUAGUGAAUCUCUCAGCAAUUUCCUCCUCCUCCUCAGAUAAAGGAUUUGGAUGGCAGAUUAGCCAAUCAGGCUCUAGGAGUUUGUCUUCUUUGGUCGCCUUAGUUAUAGCAACGACUAUUUCAGUUGCAAUGUUUUCCUUGACCUCUUUGGGAGCUUGACGUCCCCGGAGGUUAAUAGGGUCAAUAUUCUAAAACUUUGCGAUUAAGCCAAACCUACGUAGUAGUUCAGUCUUAGCCAAAUCCUUGACUUUUAACUGCUCCUCGGAAAAAGCUUUGUACUAGGCCUCCUUUUGGGCUAUUUUGAUAGUUUUAAUGCUUUGGGAAAGGAGUUUUGGUAAAAAUUAAAGACAUCAACAAAUAAAUCAAAACAAAGAAUUUUUUAGAAAUGAAAAAUCAAGGCUGAGUGGCAACAAUACCUGGUAGCUGGAAGUCCAGUUGAAGAGAAGGCACCCUUUUCACAGGGAACUCAGAGGAGAAGAACUAGUUUUCUCAGAGAUCAUGAGUAUAGUCCAUGUGGCUGAAUGGGCAGUAAGAAUCUGGACGCUUGUCCAACCUGAAGAACCCCAACUUCUUCUUGUUUGCCUUCAUGGGAUUAGCCUUUACAAUGUAGAAAUAAAAGAUCUCCUUCGGGGAAGGUACAUCCAACUUAUUCAUCUUACAAAAGACAUACCACCCAGAGUCUAUAUGAUGAAGGGAUUAACUGGAAAGGAGCUAUCCCAAUAUUGGCCAUCAGACUUGCAAAGUAGGUCCUUAAGGGAAGAUGUGCUCCGUUGGAGACGUGGGACUAACUCCAAGCACUGAAUCCCUCUAUACUUGUGCAAGUUGAUUCUCCUGUGGUAGACAGUCUAUGCCACAUCAACCCAGGAAGGUUUCGAAGACCAUCACCAUUAGCAUAGGCUGUCAACAUACCGUAGGAGCGGAAAUAGUUGGCUUUCUGGUCCAUCUCCCAGAUGGAGUCAUUAAAAACAUGUGCAAUUGGGGGUGUCUUAGCCUUCUUUUUUCCUUUUGCCUUCGCGGAGUGUCGUUCCUCCGCAGUAGGUCCAUCCUCUGGGACAGUUUCCAUAGUCGUCCCUUGUUGAGGCACUUUAAUGGGAACCAUAGCUUGGGUUUCUUUCGCUAGUGCUUCCCUUACAAGAAUAACAAGUGCAUUCUCAGUGGUUCCCACAACGCCCAAUUGGAGAUCCUAGUUCAGGUCCAUUUCUACCAGCACAAAAACAAAGAGAAACCAAGCUUUUUGAAGCAACUGACUUGUAAAAGAAAAACCUCCAGACUUGUACCCAAAUCGACAAACGUACAGGCACUUAUGAAACCUCUUAUGAUGAGAAAUAAAUGCCCAGACAACAUUGUUCACUUUUACGACAAUUCGAUUCUCAUACAGAUUUUUCCUAAAAUUGCGAAGUUUCUUUCGCAUAUCCUACUUCGCUAUUCAACAUGUAAACAGUUCUAGCCCUCCCUUGAAUAAGAAAUUUCUAUCCUAGAUACGAAAUAAUAAAAGUUCAACCAAGAGUUAGUGUACUUACGUGUUCAUUGGAAAGGAGAUGGGUUGCUGUCGUAGAAUCUCGUUUGAAGUCUCUGAACCCAGUCAAUAAGGCGAUCACAACUGGUCUAAAAAUCAAAUCCUUCAUCUGGCAAGGGGUUGGUCGAUUUGCAGGGACUCAGUGUCUGGAAAAAGCUUCGCAUGGAGUUUGAUCAAUCGCUGAAUCAAGCUAUCACACUCUUCUUGCAUGCAAUAAGAACGACGAGAGAGAAAAUUUAUAAGGGAAAAAUUCAAAGUGUGGUGUGGAAAAAGUAAAAAGAACGCCGUCAAUGUCAAUUUAUACUUCAAGAAGACAAUCGACUUUUUCAAAAUCAACGGUCCAGAUCUUUCAUUAGAUCUAACGGCUGGGAAGUUGAAAGGGUCAGAAGCAUUUAUUAAUCAUGAUUUUCCUCGGGUCCAUCAAGCCAUAAAGACGAGUCAUUUCAAAUCACCCCCCGUUAGUUUCAUCUUUUUUUGACAGACACGCCCCAACACACGCGUAAUGAAUUAACCAGGGCAUCUAAUGUACCACAUAAUUUCCACGUUAGCAGGCUUUAACGUUCCAUUUGCCCUAAACAAUUACAACUCACCAAAAAGAUGCGUCCACGACUCUAAUAGUUAGCACGUGUCAAUAGUCAGUUCUAGAGAAAGGUUGCAAGUUCCCAGAACUCAAAAAGUCCCGAAAGCUUAGGGUGUAAAUGUUAUUUGUGUUUUCCGACAAGAGACACAUGGCAUGAUUAGAAAAGAAGAUUUGUCAACCUCCCGGAUUAGUAGAGUUAACUACCAAAUUUCCUCGCAGAGGUAUCUUGGUCAUCCGGGAGGAGAUUUAUGGAUAUUUGAUGGGGAGAGCCAUCCCCAGUUUAAGCAGUGUCUUUGGGACGCAAAAGAACCAUAUUCGUCCCCAGCUCUAAGAAGUCCUAGAACACGACUUAAGUAAAUGACUUCUGGGUGAAGACUUCUACGGACUGGCCGCAGACCGUAAUCGUUAUCUGAAGGUGAAUGGCCACGUCAGCUCCAUAUGGAAAUCGACCUACAGAUGGUUACAUCUUUUUCUGACACAGGAUUAGAUCUUGUCCUCCAUGUCAAACCAUUGUAGUGCGUGUACGCACCUCUGGACAUGCCUUUUGCUCAACGGCCUAUCUAGAGAGUAUUCUGCAAAGGAGAAACCUUUGCGCAACACGUGUCUUUUAUCCAAAUGGUAUUAGCCACUAACUCUGCGCACCACACGAUCAAGAAGUUUCUUCAUUGCCGGACGGUCAGAUUUCCAGUUGUAUUCUUUUACCCUUGCAACAAGCAGUAGUACGAAGCCCUAGGUGGGUAAAAGGGAUGCUCUUAACCACAUGUAAGCCUAUGAAUACCCUCAUUUUUUAUGUACAAGAGGUGAACAAUUUCAUACUUACCGAACUUCUGCUAAAAUUCCUACUAGCUUUCUUCUUCUUCAAGAGAAACAGCUGGAAUAUAGAGCUAGGAUUUACAUUGUAAACACUUGUAAUAUUCAAACACUCGCCUGUAAGGCUAAUACAAUAGACUCGUAGACUAGGAAUUAUUAACGCUCGAACCACGUGAAAAUUACUUGUCUAUUAUUUACUAUUUUAUAUCUUUCUUAAGCUCUGUUAUAUUGAUUUUCAAAAAUCUCGAUAAAUAAUAGGUAUUGUCUCCCAUUGGAGAUGCUCUUAGUGAGGUGGGGUCUCUGUAUUAAGAUAAAAAGAAGAAGAUGAUGUAAUGGGGAAAGAGAAGAAAAAAUUAUUUUUAUUUUUAUUUUUUUGUAAAGCGUUAAAAAAUUAUUAAUUUUUAGAAUCUUUGGUGGCUAAACCCUCUCAACUAUCAUUUUACUUGCAUUUAACCCCCAUAGGUCAAAUUUUAGCGGUAAAAUCUUCCGAACUACUGAACUGUUAGUGCAUUUAAGGUAUCGUCCAUUUACCACAGUUUGAUGCCAACAUAGAUUGCUUAUAUAUGUACACUCUUGUACACGUGACACAUUCAUAUUGAUACACCUAAUCGUAUUAUUUAAAAUUUAUAAAAGAGUGUUUCAAAAUUUAUUUUAAAGUUCAAAAAUAAUAAUUUUUCAUUAUUAAAAAAAUUAAAUUAAAAUAAAAAUAAAAUUAUUUUUUCUUUUAUUCUUUCUUUUAUUUUCAGUUGUUCAUCAAUCAUAACUCUUGAUUAAAAAAAACAAAAAGAAAAACUAAAAGAAAAAAAAGUAUCUUAUUUUUCGUUAAGUACACCCAUAAAAAAGAAAGAGUGAAAAAAAAAACUAGAUUUGAAUAUGUUCUUCUUCUUCUACAUGUGCUUUUGUUUGAAGCAUGGGAGGUGGAAUGCAGGCGACGACGGUGGGGACAAAACCCAGAUCUGUGUAGCUCGAUCUCUUUGCUCGAGAAUCAACCAUUCGUAGUCAAGGCUAAGCUCAUUUCCAAGAUCGUCGAGAAGAAGAUUAAGGAGGUUGACGUCGAAUAGUUGAGGAUCUCAAAUCUAAAUAUAUUUCCAUCACAUUCAUACUUUCGCCGAUCAGAUCUAGAUUUUAGACGGAGAUUGUCGAGUCUAAAAGUGUUCAUAACGGUGGCAUGGUCGAGAUCGAGAUCGGGAUGUUAAUUGUUUAUUGUCGUCAUUGGGCUCUUCGAACAACCACGACAAGAGCACAUGCAAAUCUCGACAGCUUGCAAACUUCAUCAGACUUGUUGAGCACUGUCUGUUAACUACGAAGUGAAAAACACCACCAUUGACACCUCUAUUUGCCUUAGUCGUCCAUGAGGAAGGGUGAUAUUCUAGGUUUUGGAAGAUGAGGCUAAAUCUGGAAUGGUGGUGCAAUUAACUCUGGUUCGACUACUUUUUUUUCAAAUCUAGGUUUGACUUUGUCAUGGUGUUUUAGUGUUGAUUAGAAGUGAUUGUUAUUGCAAAGGUUGUGAUUGUGUUGGUUGUGGAUGGUAGUGUUGUAAUGGUGAUGGUGGUGGGGUGGUGACAAUGGUGAUGGUGAAGGAAGAGAGCAUGGGAGGAGAGAGAGUCAUUAACAAUGAAAGAAUAAAAUAAGAGAAAAUAAAAAUAAUUUAUUUAUUUUA